rnacentral:rRNA from 1 species
AGGACGUACGCUGGCGGCGUGCCUAAUACAUGCAAGUCGAGCGGACAGAUGGGAGCUUGCUCCCUGAUGUUAGCGGCGGACGGGUGAGUAACACGUGGGUAACCUGCCUGUAAGACUGGGAUAACUCCGGGAAACCGGGGCUAAUACCGGAUGGUUGUUUGAACCGCAUGGUUCAAACAUAAAAGGUGGCUUCGGCUACCACUUACAGAUGGACCCGCGGCGCAUUAGCUAGUUGGUGAGGUAACGGCUCACCAAGGCAACGAUGCGUAGCCGACCUGAGAGGGUGAUCGGCCACACUGGGACUGAGACACGGCCCAGACUCCUACGGGAGGCAGCAGUAGGGAAUCUUCCGCAAUGGACGAAAGUCUGACGGAGCAACGCCGCGUGAGUGAUGAAGGUUUUCGGAUCGUAAAGCUCUGUUGUUAGGGAAGAACAAGUACCGUUCGAAUAGGGCGGUACCUUGACGGUACCUAACCAGAAAGCCACGGCUAACUACGUGCCAGCAGCCGCGGUAAUACGUAGGUGGCAAGCGUUGUCCGGAAUUAUUGGGCGUAAAGGGCUCGCAGGCGGUUUCUUAAGUCUGAUGUGAAAGCCCCCGGCUCAACCGGGGAGGGUCAUUGGAAACUGGGGAACUUGAGUGCAGAAGAGGAGAGUGGAAUUCCACGUGUAGCGGUGAAAUGCGUAGAGAUGUGGAGGAACACCAGUGGCGAAGGCGACUCUCUGGUCUGUAACUGACGCUGAGGAGCGAAAGCGUGGGGAGCGAACAGGAUUAGAUACCCUGGUAGUCCACGCCGUAAACGAUGAGUGCUAAGUGUUAGGGGGUUUCCGCCCCUUAGUGCUGCAGCUAACGCAUUAAGCACUCCGCCUGGGGAGUACGGUCGCAAGACUGAAACUCAAAGGAAUUGACGGGGGCCCGCACAGCGGUGGAGCAUGUGGUUUAAUUCGAAGCAACGCGAAGAACCUUACCAGGUCUUGACAUCCUCUGACAAUCCUAGAAGAUAGGACGUCCCCUUCGGGGGCAGAGUGACAGGUGGGUGCAUGGUUGUCGUCAGCUCGUGUCGUGAGAUGUUGGGUUAAGUCCCGCAACGAGCGCAACCCUUGAUCUUAGUGGCCAGCAUUCAGUUGGGCACUCUAAGGUGACUGCCGGUGACAAACCGGAGGAAGGUGGGGAUGACGUCAAAUCAUCAUGCCCCUUAUGACCUGGCUACACACGUGCUACAAUGGACAGAACAAGGCA